GGCUACUUCUGCAAAAGGAGGUACGACAGCAAGAUUCCAGCUGGGUAGUAAAUAUGUAGGUGAUUUACAUGACAUUAUCUGCAAUGUAAUUUAAAAACCAAGGUUGAAAAAGUUUGUGUAUUCAUAAUUUAGAUUUGUCUUAUUCCCAAGCAUCUAUAUAAAUUAAAAUCAUGUGAAAACAUACUUGUUAUCAUUUAAUAGAACCACCUGAUUUAGCUUUGUGGGAAUUAUGUUCUCUCAACCUAAAAAGCACGGACACGGGGACGGAAAGACGGGGAUACGCAUACAAGGACACGGGACACAUCCUUUUUCAAAAACAGUCGUUCGGGGAUACGGUGAGUAUAUAUAAAAUAAAUAAGAAAUAUACAGAGUCAAAACAGAAAAAACAAUGAAACACUGCUGGGUCUGGAUCCCACAGAGGAUAGUUCGUAUCUACGAACACCAGGGACCAGACUGUCCUUUGAUCUCACCCACGGAUGGGUGGCCUCGGGGGUGGCGCUCCCGGAUGCCAUGCUCCCUAUAAACAAGUAGAAAUCAUUCAAGUGAGCACAACAUGGGGAAGCAAUUAGCAGCCUCUCAAUUGAAGGAAAUCAUGUCACAAAGAUGAAGAGGUUGAUGAAAGGCUGCUGGCCUUGGGGUUACCUGCUCAAGUGUGGUUGCCUCCGGGAGGAGAAGCUGCUGGGGGCGGUGGUCGAGUCCAGGUGGCGGCGGCGCGUUCGCUGCUGGUUAGUAGCAGGUCCUUCGUUAUGUGGCGUGCGUGCGUACGAGAGUUUGUAUUGUGCCGAGGCUAUUAUUGGGCCUCCCGAGUCCCUCAACAUACCACAGCCAUAUCGAUGCUUUUUUCUAUUUUUUUUAAUUCAGGAAUCAUGGGAUGCUGCGGGAUACGUGUAUCCCAGCUUAUCCAGGCGUGUCGCCGUAUCCCGCUAUACUAGGACAUCAAAUCGGCAGAUUUUGCCGUAUCCAUGCUUUGUAGCUCUCAACUUCAUGUACUUCUGGAAAUUUGAAAAUCUCUACAUUUAUAUGUAUUGUUUUGAGAACUGCAGAUCUUUCUUUGCAAUCAAGGAUGCUAUAUUUGUCGAUGUACAUAGUUUUUGGCAUGUACCUCACUUUAUCUUCAUUAUAUUCUUUGUAAGGUGUUUAACUCGUUUAACAUAAGGACGCUCUUUUCAAAAGGCCAUCUUUUCUCCGUCUAUAUAGCAUAGUGCUAUGGCUGGGACUGUAAAAAUUUAUCAAAUUAUGAUAUUUCAUAGCUCUUUAGAGGUGAUGAUAUAUGUUGGAUGACGAAACAAGGAUAUUGUUCUGGUGCUUGCUUCGACUUGGGUGUUCAGAGAAGUGAAACUUUAACUAAUCUGUUCAGGGAAGCAACAUAUUGCAUUUAAAGUGAAGCUUCCUCUAUGAUAUGGAGAUGCAAUCAUCCAUCUAAAGACAAGGUAUGCUCAUUUCUCUAUUGUGUGAAUUCAACAUGGCUGAGCAACAAUUUAUUUGCUCAUACUUUUUUCAAUAUUAAUGCUUAUUGCAGUUCCUGCUUAGCUUGGGAAAUCCAAAGAAGAAUGUUGCCCUUGCUACACUCAAGAGUACUGACCUAUAAUAUAAAACAAAAAACUAUGGGUGUUGACUUGGUACUCCCUCCGGGAGUAACUGUUUCUUGGUUGACAUAACCACUAAAACAAAAUUAUUAGUCAUAUAGUAAGAUUAACUAUCACAUGUCCUCCAACCUUUAUAUGUUGCUCUUUUGUUUAAAUUUUACUUCCCUGUUAAUUGAUUUACUUUGAUGGUACCUUGCUAUUCUCAUUUCUUUGUUGUUGUAGAUUGCCAAGAUAAAUCGAUGAUGCAUGGCUCAGAAGUUGAUUACAAGAUUGAGAAGGUGGCUACUACUAGAUAGUUUCAGAUUAUGUUUUGGAAUGUAAUUUUUAGGGUCAAUGUUUCAAACACUAUGUGUUUAGAUGGCUGAGUCGUUCAGUGCAAGGUUGAGAAUCAGACUAUUACUAGAUAGUUUCACAUAUUGUAAU
rnacentral:lncRNA from 1 species